AAUGCACCAAUUUGUAAGUCGCUCUGGAUAAGAGAGCGUCUGCUAAAUGACGUAAA
rfam:Salmo salar isolate Sally breed double haploid chromosome ssa01, whole genome shotgun sequence.